AGUACAUUUUACCCACGCGCAGCCUGUUUAUAUUUAUAGGCUGUUUCAACUUCAAUUUCAAAUUAUUAUUUUUAUUUUCUAAAAACAGUUUGUAUUUAGGUGUGUUCCGCCUCCUCAUUCAUUCACAUAAAAAUAGUCAUUUUUACUUUUGCGGACAAUUACAUUGUUGGGACAUUUCUGACACGGACAAAAUUCCCCAAGCACUUCCCAAUUGUUUGUGCAGUUCACAUUUGCAAACAUUUGCUCAUCUCCCGUCAGAACAGGAUCUGCACACGUGUUCACAUUUUCCAUUCCACAUUUAUAUUGUAGCGUACUGUAUGUAUGGAGCAUAAUAUAUUUGUCUAUAUUCUUUAUAACCGCGGACACGUGAGGAAACGUUACUCAUUUCAUAACCUUUAUGGUGUUAUAGUCAAUCGUGCUUAUGUAGCUACAUUCGUCUAUUAGCUCUGUAAAACAAUGCUAAUUGCGUUAGAGAACUAUUAUCUUGUGUUGUAUUUUGAAGCUAUGUGGCCUUAUGACUCCCAAGUGGUGCAGCGGUCAAAGGCACAGCACAUCAGUGCAAGAGGCUUCACUACAGACGCGGUUCAAAUCCAGGCAGCGUUUCUAUCAAAAAACCACAAACAUUAUUUUCCAAUAUCAUAACUGGAGCUGGACAUCUUUGGAGCUGAAGAAUGACAGCUUUUGUAUGCUAACGUACACUCCUUAACAGUUGUACUGGAUGAAAACACAGCAAGAAAACACAUAUGCCAAUAUGUAAUAGUCAUCUAUUUUAUUGCAGUAUUGGUAGUUGGUUCAACAACUUGUUUUACUAGAGGACAAAAAACAGAAUAUGCAUAACCCAUAUUUAAUAUCCAUGCAGUGACUGAACAACAACUGCAUUUCCACCCCCAUCUCUAAAGGCAUAGUAUCAUGGCUGGUCACCUGUCAGGCAGACUUUGCAGUGCCUCCGUGUGCGACUACCUUGAGCAGCAGUUUGAGGGACAUUGCAGGGAAAAUGCCGUGCAGUGAGGCGUAGGGGAUUGUCUACAGCAGGACGACCCCCAGUGGAUGGGCGCCAAGGGGUGUGGUGCUCCUCCAGCAGCUCUCAUGAGGUUCUCUCUGUAUUUUUGGUGGUCCACCUUCCCUGUUGCCGACAUGGUUGCUGUAUGGACAGUGGAGAGGACAUGGACGUCUCGUUUGUCAUGCCACUUUACUGCCAGCUGUUGACCGUUCUCCUGGAACUCCACCUCCCCUCUCUGCAUCUUCCUGCAUCCGAAUGCCGGCAUCCCCUUCCUGUUCGACACGACUGUGCCACAGGCCCCUGUGCUGUUGGAGAGCAGAUGCUGGAAGAGUGUGGGACUGCUGUACCAAUUGUCCACAUGCAAAGUGUGUCCCUUGCCAAGAUGAGGAGCCAGCAUGGUCAUCACCACGGACCCGGACACCCCAAGCCCCUCAUAAUGUUUUAUGUCAGUGGUGGACCCUGUGUAAACUAUAAUAUCCUGGACAAAUCCUCUCUUCACGUCGCACAUGACAAGGAACUUGACUCCAAACCUGUGCCUUUUGGAGGGAAUAUAUUGACGGAAUGCCAGCCUACCUUUCCAUAACAUCAGGGACUCAUCAAUGCAUAGGUCCUUGUAUGGCACAAAGACCUGACCAAAUGCUGAUGUCAGGCUGAUAAGAACAUUUCUUAUUUUGUAUAACGGGUCACUUAGGAUGGCAGUAGCAUUGUUGAUGAAAUGCAGGCAUCGCAACAGAACUAGGAAGCGGUCUUGGGAAAAGAGGGUGGCAAAGAAGGGAGUUGCAAACAUAGGAUCUGUGCUCCAGUAUUCUCUUAGAGUUCUUCUUUACUAUCCCAUGAGGAGAACUGUCACCAGGAAGGUAUACAUUUCACUAAUUGUGGUUGUCACCCUUUUAGCGAGUUUCCCCCUCACUCCUGGCUCUCAUCUCCUGUAGCUCCAAGGCAUAGCGAUUGGUCUCUUCUACUAUGUUUCCCACCAGCUCCUCUGUCAGAAACAACUUGAAGCACUCUGCCUCAGUUGGAAAUGGCAAGGGGCGUUGCACUCCAGACUGGGACUCGUCAAAGCAAACAGCAGGUCCAGGAGGGGUGAAAUGACUGGUGGCCUUCCAGGUACCACAGAACUCCUGUACUUCAUCCACUGUUGGUCCGCCUCCAUCACCACUAGCAUCUUCAAAGGGACCUGGUACUUCGUCAGUUGACAAGGGAAAUUCAGAUUCAGGGUUCUCAAUGGCUACAAGGUUGGGGGGCAGCUCCUCACUGUCACUGUCAGAAUCUGAUUCCUGACUUUCAUACUCAGACUCAUUGUCAGAAUUGUAAAAAAUCUCCAGAAUUACCACAUUUGUGAGAUGUCUCCUUUUGAAAGACAUUGCUAAUGCUACAGCUUAGCUCACUAGCUACAUACAUAAACAACACUGAAUGACGCAGAGUGAGAGGUUACGUGGUUGACUGCCGGAACGCACCACUUGUAUCAAUAAAUCACUCAGAAAAUGUUGUGUGGCAAUUAUUUGUGUAUUUACGGUUUUAUUCACAUGUUUUCAAUUCUAGGUGACAAAUCAUGCAUUCCGAUUCUUACACAGAUUGUAAUGGGCACAUAUUAUGUGUGUAAAAUAAUUUUUUGAAGGUUGUACUGAUUAUG